rnacentral:ncRNA from 1 species
UUUAGACCGUCGUGCUGAGACAGUGUUAGUUUUACACCUACUGAUGUCUUGUCGUUGCUAUGGUAAUCCUGCUUAGUACGAGAGGAACCGCAGGUUCAGACAUUUGGUUUAUGUGCUUGGUCGAAAGACCAAUGGUGCGAAGCUACCAUCUGAGGGAUUAAGACUGAAAGCCUCUUAAGUCUGAAUCCCGCCCAGAAAUGCAACGAUACUAUCGGUGCCCCUACGCCGGGAGGCAACGAUAUACUCGGCCCGAAAUCCGAUUUCGGCGGCCGAGACUGGCUAAAGCCACUGCGAUACUGGCCACACCCGCUGUCUUGAAAUUUGGCAGUGGAGGCACAGACACGAUACCACUUGAUUGAGACGUAGGGGUUCUAUAUCGUUUGUAGACGACUUAGAUCUCGGUCGGGGUGCCGUACUUAGUUGAGCAGUUCUUCACUGCGAUCUAUUGAGGCUAAGCCUUUUGACGGGGAGAUAUGU